GUACAUCGUUGAAGUGUGGUUUUCCGUAGUCUGCAAGCUCCAUUUGAAGCUCUCUCUCCUCAUCAUCUGGAAUCAAAGGAGGCAAACCAACAUUAAGUUUUUAAACUUUCUGAUUAUCUAGGACGUGAUCAGGAAUCAAAUGCUGAAGAGGAUUUGGUGGGAUCUGCUUUAUGAUGUCAGCAUUUCCAUCCUGGUUACUGUUUACACCUGGAAGCACACAAAAACAAUUAAAACACUUUGACUAUUUGCACUGUUCAGGCACAAGGAAAAGCAGCUUAUGAAUUAAGUCCUUUUUGAAGGGCAAGGGAUCCCCUGGCGUGUGUUUUUUGUGUGUGUGUGUUUUUUAACCCUCAUGACGGAUUUUUCUCCAAACAUUGCUGACACCUGUGCUUUCAUUUUCUCAGUAGUCAAGGCAGAGAAUGGGGAAGAAGGAGUGUCAUCCAUUAUCAGCUAUUGAUACUUCUGUCACACUUCUUUUAAAAGCUUAAGAGGAAUGCUGCAAAUACAUCAUUGGAAGCAUCAGGCUUUCUCCAUGCCUGGACGUUACUUUCUUACCAAGUCUAGUGACCACUUGCGUCACUCAAACCACUUUGUCCUUUCUUUAAUUUAAUGCAUGGUGUGGGGACAGCAGUGGUUUCCAACCUUUUUUUGGCCAUGCCCCACCUAAGUAUCUCUAAACUCCUGACACACCCCACCCCCUGGGACAUAUAAUUCUUAUUAUUCAAAAAGUGAACUCCUAUUCAAGUGGAGGAAGCCUAAAAGGCUAUUCACUGUUAAUAACCCAUUCUUGAAUUGCCCUCCCCCUAAAAAUCAAAUUGCCCCCGCCCCACAUUGGGAACAAACUGGAUUAACUUCAGCCCUUUUACAAGUUAAAUUAACCUUGUCAGUAUUUGCUUCUCACUUCCACUCUCUGGUGAUUAUCGCCUCUGUUCCCUGGGAUUGCUCACUUUACAAAUAAAAGCUGCCCACAUGUACACCUUCACGCCUCUAAUUCCUAAAUAAUGUCUGCUUUGUAAUGUCUUUGCUAAACCUGAGAAACAGAGAAGGUACAUGGUGGUUUUAAACACUCCUAAAGAAGUUUUAGAUCACAUUCACCUUGGCUCUGCAUAAAGACUAAAGGAGAGGCCAGACUGAGAACAACUUUUUUUCUCUUAAGACCAUUUAUUUCAACAAGUCUGCUGUACGUAUAACUUAAAGGUAAAGGGACCCCUGACCAUUAGGUCCAGUCGCAGACGACUCAGGUUGCGGCGCUCAUCUCGCUUUAUUGGCCGAGGGAGCCGGCGGUCCUCCCCGUUGACUCUUAGCAGGCUGGGGAAGAACUGGUGACCUCAUUCCGCCAUAAGAGAGUGAGGGAUAACCUGCUUUAGAAUGCCCUUCACUGAAGGAGAAUAUUUACUCCUGUUUUAAAGAUGCACCAGGGACUUCUUACCUUGAGCCAGGUUUGGAGCAUGGGGCUUUUCUGUUGGAAGAUUUCCAUUGGGUUGAGGUUCAUUCUGAGAAGCUGAAACAAGUGGCUUCUUCAAAGCUAAACAAACAAAACCACACUGUGACUCACUGAUCUACUAAUACCAAUGGCACAUCCUAAGGCAACCACUGAGCGCACUGUUCAAAAAGAGAACUGAUAUGUUCUGUUGGAAGCCGCCCAGAGUGGCUGGGGAAACCCAGCCACAUGGGCGGGGUAUAAAUAAUAAAAUUAUUGUUAUUGUUGUUGUUGUUUUGUUGUUGUUAUGUUCUGCAAAGGGCUGAUUUCUGACAAGUGAACCAAGAUUGGUACAAAUGCAGUUGUUGGCAGUAGCUCUUCUCUAUUUUCAAGAUAAGCCAUACAGAAGCAGGGGCUUUCCUGCAAGGGCCAGAAUCCAGUAUACUAUAACAAAAGUUUGCGUUCUCACCAGUUUGAAAUGUUUUGUCAGGACAGCAUUUGCUAGUGUUCACAUGCUGAGAAGAGUUAAGUGCAAUUUUGCGGGGUUGCAAAAAAAGAAGACGAAAGUUCCCCCUCCCCAUUUAUACUUCUUAUUGAUGAGAAAGAAUCAGUGGCAACUAAUUCUGCCAGUUUAUACUAAGAAUCAAGAUUCUGGUGCAGCAUCUGUCUUUUUAUUUCACAUCUGAUAACUGCUUUAGCCAAUAGCACUUCACCCCUCUUCAGGCAAGUCCUCUUGUAAACUACCUUGGUCAUCUUUGGCAACAAACUGAAAUCUGACACUAGCUAGCCCUUUCUCUGGAGUUGAAAUCAGUAACCCAUCUAAAAAAACCCACAAACUGCUGAGGGAGGAAAUGGGUAUUUCAGAAUUAUCAAAAAUAAUAGAUUUUAGAUUACUUAGAAAUAGUAGUAGUAGUAAAAUAUAUAUAGCUUUGCUAACCAGUGAGUGUAUCUUCAGCUUUAGCAGCAUCGUUCUCUUCUAUCCCAGGCAUGCCUGCAUCAUCUCCUGGUUUUAUUUUCUCUGUCAAGAGAAGAAGAAAUUUCUCUCCUUACUGCUGCUUACUUUUAAGUUCUAAGUGGAUUCACAAUUGUUACAGGGACUGGACUAGAGGUAGUAGAUCAUAGUUGCUGAACAGAAAGCAAUACAUCUCCCUCAGUGAGCUAGCUGCAAAGGCAGGCAACUUUCUCCAAGACUUCAUUGCUGGCCAAUGUUAAAAAUGGCACCAGAUCUGUGCCUCAAGACUGAGGAGUUCCUAGCCAGCCAGGUACUCUGCAUUCUCCCAAGACACCUAAGAGGUACAUAGCGAUGUGACCCACAAUUGUACUAGACAGACCUUUGCCAUCUGAGAUAUUGUUGAUGGAAGGUGUUUCAUUCCUAAUUACAUUCUUUUCAUCCAAUUGUUGCGUUGUCUUCAAUAUUGUUGGAUUAUUGCUCAGGUUGCUCUCAAUAUCUUUACUGGACUGGCUUCUGUGUGCAGCCUGUUAAAAUGUAAAGAACCAACUAUGAAACACAGUUGUUCACAUUUGAAUUAGACAUCCUGUGUGCCUGUCACUCCAUUAGGAUGAUUCAGUCUGUUGUCAAUGGAAAUUCACUUCUACUUCUAUCUCAACCAAGUUUUGUUCUUUUCUCAUAACAAAGUCUAACAUCAAAUUUAUGGAUAGAACUGAUCUACGCCAGAUGGGCAGCGUAUAAAUAAUAAAUUUUAUUAUCAUGAUUGUUAUUAUCAUCAUUAUCAUCAUGGCAACAGGGGUGCUGGCAACCCAUCCUAGAAUCAUGCAGCGAGCAGUGAAGGGUAGGAUGCAAAGCAAUCCUCUAUCCAUUCCCAAGUGGAGCGAAAGCUGGUUAGAUCAGGCAUAGGCAAACUCGGCCCUACAACUCCCAUGAUCCCUAGCUAACAGGUCAGGGAUGAUGGGAACUGUAGUACCAAAACAUCUGGAGGGCUGAGGGCCUAUGCCUGGGUUAGAACCUGACCCUUCUCUUAAUGAGUAAGUAGAGAGGAAAUUACCAAAGGAAAAUGGUAUUUCAAACCAUUCUCAAGUGUCCAUAAAAAAUGAUAGGAACAUAUGAAGAUACCUUCUUGGACAUUCCCAGCACUACCUGGAGAUGCUGGGGAUUAAACCUGGGACCUCCUGGAUCCAAGGAAGAUGCUCUUUCUACCCCUCAACUAUGGCCCUUCACAGACUUAAGCAACUGAGCAUUUAGAUGAUGUACCUUUUGGUCUUGUGUAACUUGGUCCUCUAACUUUCUCAUAUUUUCUUCAUGCUGCAUCCUCAGUUCUUUGAUCUGAUGUCCACACUGAAAACUGGCAGAACAGAUAAUGUACAACACAGGCACUGAAUGUAUGAAUCCAUCUAGCAUAGCAAAAGUCAUCAACAGCAGCUGGUAGUGUUUCUCUAAAGUCUGAGGCAAGAGGGAUAUUUCCCAAGAUCAUAGAAUCCUGGAGUUGAUGACAGAAGUCCACAGAUCCUUUUAUGUGAAGAUGCCAGGGACUGAAGCUCAUAUCUUCUACAUACAAAGCAGAUCCUCUACCACAAUAUUAUGGAUGCUCUUUGCAAAGGAAAGAGUUCCAGCUUCUACUAAGACUUAAGUUCUAAAUGAAGGUGACUCUCCUUAUGGACACAUGAACGGCAAUGAAAUUGCUAGCACAUUUGCAAAGUUAAGCAGGGACUGGUAUGGUUUCAAGAUUCCUGCAUUGCAGGGGGUUGAACUAGAUGACCCUUGGGGGGUCCUUUCCAACUAUGAUUCUAUGAAUAAGUGCCACAAGAAUUGAAAUCUCCUGUCUGACCUUUCCCUAUAAUUGUGUUUGCUUAUUCCUUGCCUGAGUCAGGAGAUGGAACAUGGAAUUGGCUCUCCCUCCAUUCCACAUAACAUAGCAAACUGUGAAGCACCCUCCACUGUGUUGACUGGUGGUGCUGUAGGAUAAUCAAUACAUUUUUGGUGCAGAGAUUGCCAUCCCUUAGGAAUUCUACCUUGGAUACCUUGAUUAACGGGUUCUGAGCACCAUUUCUUUUGCUUCUUUUAGCAAGCAAGUCAAAAUCAUGAAGUUUCACUAGUCUCCUUUUCAGUGAGGGCAGAAAGGGCACUACCCUACCACAGCUGUCCUAAAGUAUGCUUUUCUUCUAACUCCUUCUGCAUAUAGGACGCUGAUGUCAAAAGCAGGACUCCACUUUGAUCUGAAAGAUCAUGGCACAGCUAAGCUGGAAACACUCUGCAGAACUCUGUAUUAUUAGAGUACAUUGGCAUCAGUUCAGAUUUACAUAGUACUAUGCUCACCUUUCAU